UACGAAGGGGGCUAGCGUUGCUCGGAAUCACUGGGCGUAAAGGGUGCGUAGGCGGGUCUUUAAGUCAGGGGGGAAAUCCUGGAGCUCAACUCCAGAACUGCCUUUGAUACUGAAGAUCUUGAGUUCGGGAGAGGUGAGUGGAACUGCGAGUGUAGAGGUGAAAUUCGUAGAUAUUCGCAAGAACACCAGUGGCGAAGGCGGCUCACUGGCCCGAUACUGACGCCGAGGCACGAAAGCGUGGGGAGCAAACAGG
rnacentral:rRNA from 1 species